rnacentral:rRNA from 1 species
GAUGAACGCUAGCGAUAGGCUUAACACAUGCAAGUCGAGGGGCAGCAUGGUCUUAGCUUGCUAAGACUGAUGGCGACCGGCGCACGGGUGCGUAACGCGUAUGCAACUUGCCUCACAGAGGGGGAUAACCCGUCGAAAGACGGACUAAUACCGCGUACACUCCAUCUUGGGCAUCCAAGGUAGAGGAAAUGAAAUUCGCUGUGAGAUAGGCAUGCGUCCCAUUGGCUAGUUGGUGAGGUAACGGCUCACCAAGGCGACGAUGGGUAGGGGAACUGAGAGGUUGAACCCCCACACUGGUACUGAGACACGGACCAUACUCCUACGGGAGGCAGCAGUGAUGAAUAUGAGUCAAUGGGCGAGAGCCUGAACCAGCCAAGUCGCGUGAAGGAUGACUGUCUUAUGGAUUGUAAACUUCUUUUAUACGGGAAUAACAAGAGUCACGUGUGACUCCCUGCAUGUACCGUAUGAAUAAGCAUCGGCUAACUCCGUG